UACGUAGGGGGCAAGCGUUGUCCGGAAUUAUUGGGCGUAAAGAGCGUGUAGGCGGCCAGAUAAGUCCGCUGUGAAAUCUCGAGGCUCAACUUCGAGCUGUCGGUGGAAACUAUCUGGCUAGAGUCCGGAAGAGGAGAAUGGAAUUCCUGGUGUAGCGGUGAAUGCGCAGAUAUCAGGAAGAACACCCGUGGCGAAGGCGGUUCUCUGGGACGGUACUGACGCUGAGACGCGAAAAGCGUGGGGAGCGAACAGG
rnacentral:rRNA from 1 species